AGUACUCAAUGAUUCUAGUUGAAAGAAAGAAAAAAGGAAGGAAGAAAGGAGGAAGAGGCAGGCACAAGACAAAAUGAAUCUCUCCGCUGUGCACAUGGAGCCUUAGCUCUGAUUCCAGUUGAGCAAAAUUAUGAAGAAGAUGAUUCCCCAUAUGGAUGACAGAUAAACACCCUGUGGCGAGUCACUCACUCCCGAAAGGCCCUCUGAAGGAUCGCGCAUGUCCUGACUGCACAGCCUGCUCCUUUUAUCAUGUACUAGGCUCUGCGGUAGGUUCUGGGAAUACAGACUUGAACCAGACAUGCUUUCAGGCCAUCUGCAGGACAAAGCAAAUGUUACAGAAGUUAAGUGACUUGCUCAAGGCCCCUUGAAGUCCAGCUUGGAAGACUAAGAACUCAACAUCCCUGUGGAUCCUGCCAGCCCUGCCAGCUUUCCCAGAGACGCCCAGCUGUUGAGCUUAAUCUCAGAGUCACUGGAACAACCACUUCAAGGACAAUGCUCUCAAAGCCACGGUUGUAAUAGAAAUUGGAAAAUCAAAGCAGAUCCAUGUGGCCUCAGCAUAACGAAAACAAGGAAUAAAUGGAUGUUACUACUACUAGUACUGCUUCUGCUGCCAAGUUUUUGAGCACAUAACCAGGAUGACAACCACAGUUCCACAAAGCUCUGAUAAAACAUCAAAAAGAAACUCACCACCAAGGAAACCAGAGAAUCCUUUCUUGUCUUGAGUGAAUGGCAAUGAUCUUGGUGGCCAAGAUAAUAAAUACACGUUUAUUAUAUUGAAAAACUAUUCUAAAAUAUAUGUUCUCUAUAUAAAGUAAUCUCCACAUGAUUCUGAGAAAAAGUUUAAUCUAUCUUUCUACUACAAAGUUCUUAAUAAUGCUUUGACAAGGAGGUACCAUAUCCCAAGAUGUGAUACACUUUGCUCAGUUUUUAAAUUAAACAUUCUAGAG
rnacentral:lncRNA from 1 species